rnacentral:tRNA from 1 species
UCAGAGAGUAGUUUAAUUAAGAAUGCCAGCUUUGGGAGCUGGUGAUAAAGGUUUGACUCCUUUCUUUCUGAU